CGCGGCCCCCGUUCCCUCAUUAAGUGCACCUGUGGCAAAAGUUUGGCUCUUGCAGGACGUGAAAAUGAACUCAACUUUUCACGCAGGUGUGUUUAACGAGGGUAACUUUGAAAACAUAUAUAUUGGAACGCGGCCCCCAUUCCCUAAUUAAGUGCACCUGUGGCAAAAGUUUGGCUCUUGCAGGACGUGAAAAUGAACUCAACUUUUCACGCAGGUGCGUUUAACGAGGGUAACUUUGAAAACAUAUAUUGGAACGCGGCCCCCGUUCCCUCAUUAAGUGCACCUGUGGCAAAAGUUUGGCUCUUGCAGGACGUGAAAAUGAACUCAACUUUUCACGCAGGUGUGUUUAACGAGGGUAACUUUGAAAACAUAUAUAUUGGAACGCGGCCCCCGUUCCCUCAUUAAGUGCACCUUUGGCAAAAGUUUGGCUCUUGCAGGACAUGAAAAUGAACUCAACUUUUCACGCAGGUGUGUUUAACGAGGGUAACUUUGAAAACAUAUAUAUUGGAACGCGGCCCCCGUUCCCUCAUUAAGUGCACCUGUGGCAAAAGUUUGGCUCUUGCAGGAUGUGAAAAUGAACUCAACUUUUCACGCAGGUGUGUUUCACGAGGGUAACUUUGAAAACAUAUAUUGGAACGCGGCCCCCGUUCCCUCAUUAAGUGCACCUGUGGCAAAAGUUUGGCUCUUGCAGGACGUGAAAAUGAACUCAACUUUUCACGCAGGUGUGUUUAACGAGGGUAAUUUUGAAAACAUAUAUAUUGGAACGCAGCCCCCGAGGACUGGAUUACAUUGACGUCAUUUUAGCAUGUUAAUGUCGAAAAUAAAAUGAGAAUAAAUGAAUAAAAAUUCCACUGAUUCUUUAUUUGAAAUACAUUUUAUUAUACCGUAAAAUACAAAACAUUUAAUAAAACAAAGUUUUUUUUUAUCUACAAAUGUACAAAGAUCAAGAUUAUAUUACAUUUUUUAGUUUUGGCUAUAUAAAAACAAAAACAAC